GCUAACAAAUAGGCUAGAAUUUUAUAUUAAUUUUGAAUGUCCAAUUUAGCUGUAAAAAUGAACUUCUUAAAGUGCAAUCUUAAGAACUUGGCAAUGUAAUGCUGGUGGCCAUUGAUGAAAAUGAUUCUGCCAUAUGAGUAAAACUGAUUAUACUCCAACCGUUCCACUUUUUUCUGAGGUACCCAGCCUAAAUAUAACUGCACUUAAAGGAGCUAUGAUAGUAACUUAUUUAUGGUAAUAGAUUUUCUAAAAGGAGAUCUGACUAUGCUGCUUGCCAUUCUAAAGUCUGCCAAAGCAUCAUAUGAAAUUGUCACUCUUAAACAUGAGUGAUACCUGGUGUAAUGACUUCUAUGCAUUAACAUACUCUCUCCUUGCAGGUUGUGAAUGGCUUGUUUCUGCAAAUUGGUAAGUAAAGUCUGUCACUAUAUUAAAGUUUAGAUCUCUGAAUCUGGAAUCUUUAAUGAAAAGCACAAGGGCAGAUCUUCUUAGAAAUGCCCAUUGCAGGCAAGAAAUUAGUUCAAUGCCUUAAACUGGCUUUUAAAAAUAGCUAGAUGACAUGGUAGAACAAGCAAUGCUCAUUUUAAUCUUCCCCUGCUUGGCAUCAUGACGGAGCAUGCAUCUUAACAGAGCAUAUACUGAUAUCAAAGAUGGCACUUCAGGCGUUUUAACCUUGACUAGUAUGCAGCAUGCAUGGUGCACUUCUAGGAAGCUCUGCCCUUAGUCAGAACGCUAAAGUGCCUGCCUAUGAUGUUUUCAAGAGUAGUGGACAGAAUUGAUUUCUGACAAUUUUUAUUAACACUGAGGCUUUGCACUUGACCCAGUACUAGAAGGCCCAAUAUUGGCAUUCUUGGACAGAUUAUUUAAAUUAUGUGCUUCUUUGCUCCAUAUAUUAACUAAAUUAUUACCUUUUUAAAGGUGAACCAGUCUGCUGGACUGAAGCAAAACAAAGCCUCUGGAAUAACCAGGCUACACUCCAAACCUUGCUGGGACAUGUGAAACUUUCUGAGGGCUUCAAUAACACUGAUGGCUGUCUUACACCACUUUACAUUUAAAAUGCCACUUUAAGAUCAGAGACAAGCGGCCAGGCUGAAGUUGCAAUUACAAUUGGCUGAGCCAUGAAUAUUCUUGGCCCCUUUGUGAUAACAUGGAUUUUGGCACAUCUCUCUAUCAGUUGUCUGAAUUAGGUAAGUAGACUGUCUACCCUAUAUGUAACUUGGGGUACAUGAUGACAUCUACUUUGAACUCUCUCACUGAGAUUCAGAUGAAAACAAAAGUACUGAUCCCCUAGUACAUUGAGCAGCUUCCACUGUAUUUCAACACAAACUUCUUUUUAUUUUUAAAUAUUCUUUUCCCCACAGAUCUGAGACUUCAUAUUCAAGGUGAUCUCCAAAAGCAACUGACCAUUUCAUGUAAAGAGAACUGGUGUUAAGCAGUGACUAGGACAAUUCUCAAUUUGUAAUGUUUCCCUGAAGAGGUUAAAAUAUCUCUGCUUCAUGGCUUGUGUGCAAAGUAAUGCUCUUUGCAAAG